rnacentral:rRNA from 1 species
GACGAACGCUGGCGGCGUGCUUAACACAUGCAAGUCGAACGGAAAGGCCCUGCUUUUGUGGGGUGCUCGAGUGGCGAACGGGUGAGUAACACGUGAGUAACCUGACCUUGACUUUGGGAUAACUUCAGGAAACUGGGGCUUAUACCGGAUAGGAGCUCCUGCUGCAUGGUGGGGGUGGGAAAGGUUCGGCGGUUGGGGAUGGACUGGCGGCGUAUCAGCCUGUUGGUGGGGUGGUGGCUUACAAAGGCUUUGACGGGUAGCCGGCCUGAGAGGGUGACCGGCCACAUUGGGACUGAGACACGGCCCAGACGCCUACGGGAGGCAGCAGUGGGGAAUAGUGCACAAUGGGCGGAAGCCGUAUGCAGCAACGCCGCGUGCGGGAUGACGGCCUUCGGGUAGUAAACCGCGUUCGCCUGUGACGAAGCGUGAGUGACGGUAAUGGGUAAAGAAGCACCGGCUAACUACGUG